AUUGAACGCUGGCGGCAGGCCUAACACAUGCAAGUCGAGCGGCAGCGGGAAAGUAGCUUGCUACUUUUGCCGGCGAGCGGCGGACGGGUGAGUAAUGCCUGGGAAAUUGCCCAGUCGAGGGGGAUAACAGUUGGAAACGACUGCUAAUACCGCAUACGCCCUACGGGGGAAAGCAGGGGACCUUCGGGCCUUGCGCGAUUGGAUAUGCCCAGGUGGGAUUAGCUUGUUGGUGAGGUAAUGGCUCACCAAGGCGACGAUCCCUAGCUGGUCUGAGAGGAUGAUCAGCCACACUGGAACUGAGACACGGUCCAGACUCCUACGGGAGGCAGCAGUGGGGAAUAUUGCACAAUGGGGGAAACCCUGAUGCAGCCAUGCCGCGUGUGUGAAGAAGGCCUUCGGUUGUAAAGGCACUUUCUAGCGAGGAGGAAAGG
rnacentral:rRNA from 1 species